rnacentral:rRNA from 1 species
GCCAGCGGUGAUAGAACGUUGAAUGUACCAGUUCCCAAUCAAUCACUGAAGUUAAGCAACGUUGUAUUUGGUUCGUAUCCCAAAGAGUGACCAUCAGUGACCACCUGGGUAAUCGCGUGAG